rnacentral:rRNA from 1 species
CAGUCGCCGCGGUAAGACAGAGGAUGCAAGCGUUAUCCGGAAUGAUUGGGCGUAAAGCGUCUGUAGGUGGCUUUUCAAGUCCGCCGUCAAAUCCCAGGGCUCAACCCUGGACAGGCGGUGGAAACUACCAAGCUGGAGUACGGUAGGGGCAGAGGGAAUUUCCGGUGGAGCGGUGAAAUGCGUAGAUAUGCGGAGGAACACCGAUGGCGAAGGCAAUCCCCUGGGCCUGUACUGACGCUCAUGCACGAAAGCGUGGGGAGCAAACAGGAUUAGAUACCCCCGUAGUCCCUGUCUCUUAUAC